UCCCUCUCCAAAUCUAACUUGUACUGGAGCAAAGUUCAAUAUACAAGUGUCAAAAUGUUGGUUGGAAGAACAAGGUUAUAAUACGUCUGAUAUCAGACUGAACAGCACCAACCCCGAGUGUUUCGCAGUAAAUCAGAAUGUGAAUGGAAUAUCGGAGAUGACCCUUCAGCGUCCAUUGAUAACCUCUGACUGUAACACGGUUCCUGCGAUGAAUGCGACCCAUGUCAUGUACACAAACCAGCUGUAUAUUUUUGGCAAGACGGAUCCAAUCCGAAUAA